AAUUUUUUACCAGCAAGACAAUAUUUGGGCUGAAUUACUCACCAGCAAAACAAUAUGUGUUCCAGUUGUUCAUGGUCAAAUUACUUACCAGUGAGACAAUAUGAGUUCUUGUGAUUCAUCACCAAAUUACUUACCAGUGAGACAAUAUGAGUUCUUGUGGUUCAUCACCAAAUUACUUACCAGUGAGACAAUAUGAGUUCUUGUGAUUCAUCACCAAAUUACUUACCAGUGAGACAAUAUGAGUUCUUGUGGUUCAUCACCAAAUUACUUACCAGUGAGACAAUAUGAGUUCUUGUGAUUCAUCACCAAACUAGAUAUCAUUGAGAUGGGAGCCAUCUCUGUGGGCCCCGCUGUCAAUAACGUGGGGUAAAUAAGUUG
rnacentral:lncRNA from 1 species